rnacentral:rRNA from 1 species
CCCGCAACGAGCGUAACCCUUAUCCUUUGUUGCCAGCGGUUAGGCCGGGAACUCAAAGGAGACUGCCAGUGAUAAACUGGAGGAAGGUGGGGAUGACGUCAAGUCAUCAUGGCCCUUACGACCAGGGCUACACACGUGCUACAAUGGCAUAUACAAAGAGAAGCGACCUCGCGAGAGCAAGCGGACCUCAUAAAGUAUGUCGUAGUCCGGAUUGGUGUCUGCAACUCGACUCCAUGAAGUCGGAAUCGCUAGUAAUCGUAGAUCAGAAUGCUACGGUGAAUACGUU